rnacentral:rRNA from 1 species
UGGUCUGGACCUAACGGCUGCAACCUGGCAAUUUGGGUAAACGAAACAGAAUUGUAACUUACUAAAAUAAAGUUUUAAGUACGUAUUAAUAAUGAUAAUAUGUAUACUAGUCUUGACCAAUUACCGUGCCAGCAGUCGCGGUAAUACGUAAGAGACGAGCAUAUAUUCAUAUUAAAUAGCGUUUAAAGGGUACCCAGACUGGUCAAAAUACCUUAAAUAAAAAGAAGUACUAGACUAGAGUUAUAUGUGAAGAAGACUCGUACUUGACGCCUGGAGGGAUUAUAUCCUGUGAUACUGAAAGGACUGAUAAAGGCGAAGGCUGUCUUUUAUAGUAAUAACUGAGCGUUGGAGGACGGAAGGCAUAGAGAACGAACAGGAUUUGACACCCUAGUAGUCUUUGCAGACAAUGAUGAAUGCCAUAGAUUAGAUUGAUCUAAAUUUAGUAUAUAAAUGAAAAUGAAAGCAUUUCACCGUCAAGAGUAAUGUGAGCAAACGCAGGAACUCGAAGUUAUUUAAUUCAUUGAUCCGCA